rnacentral:rRNA from 1 species
UACGGAGGGUGCAAGCGUUAAUCGGAAUUACUGGGCGUAAAGCGCACGUAGGUGGUUUUCUAAGUCAGCUGUGAAAUCCCCGGGCUCAACCUGGGACUUGCAGUUGAAACUGGAAAGCUAGAGUAGGGUAGAGGGGUGUGGAAUUCCAGGUGUAGCGGUGAAAUGCGUAGAUAUCUGGAGGAAUACCGGUGGCGAAGGCGGCAUCCUGGACCAUUUACUGACGCUGAGGCGCGAAAGCUAGGGGAGCAAACGGG